GCCAGGUGCGGUGACUCACGCCUGUAAUCCCAGCACUUUGGGAGGCUGAGGUGGGGGAUUCACCUGAGAUCAGGAGUUCGAGACCAGCCUGGUCAACAUGGCGAAACCCCAUCUCUA
ensembl:misc_RNA Metazoa_SRP Metazoan signal recognition particle RNA